CCUACGGGAGACUGCAGUGGGGAAUAUUGCACAAUGGGGGAAACCCUGAUGCAGCGACGCCGCGUGAGUGAAGAAGUAAUUCGUUAUGUAAAGCUCUAUCAGCAGGGAAGAAAAUGACGGUACCUGAGUAAGAAGCCCCGGCCAACUACGUGCCAGCAGCCGCGGUAAGACGUAGGGGGCAAGCGUUAUCCGGAUUUACUGGGUGUAAAGGGAGCGUAGACGGCAGUGCAAGUCUGGAGUGAAAGGCGGGGGCUCAACCCCCGGACUGCUCUGGAAACUGUACGGCUGGAGUGCAGGAGAGGUAAGUGGAAUUCCUAGUGUAGCGGUGAAAUGCGUAGAUAUUAGGAGGAACACCAGUGGCGAAGGCGGCUUACUGGACUGUAACUGACGUUGAGGCUCGAAAGCGUGGGGAGCAAACAGGAUUAGAUACCCGAGUAGUC
rnacentral:rRNA from 1 species